UACGGAGGGUGCAAGCGUUAAUCGGAAUUACUGGGCGUAAAGGGUGCGUAGGUGGUUUAUUAAGUUAUCUGUGAAAUACCUGGGCUCAACCUAGGCAGGUCAGAUAAGACUGGUAGACUCGAGUAUAGGAGAGGGUAGUGGAAUUCCCGGUGUAGCGGUGAAAUGCGUAGAGAUCGGGAGGAACACCAGUGGCGAAGGCGGCUACCUGGCCUAAUACUGACACUGAGGCACGAAAGCGUGGGGAGCGAACAGG
rnacentral:rRNA from 1 species